UACGGGGGGGGCAAGCGUUGUUCGGAAUUACUGGGCGUAAAGGGCUUGUAGGUGGCCAACUAAGUCAGACGUGAAAUCCCUCGGCUUAACCGGGGAACUGCGUCUGAUACUGGAUGGCUGGAGUUUGGGAGAGGGAUGCGGAAUUCCAGGUGUAGCGGUGAAAUGCGUAGAUAUCAGGAGGAACACCGAUGGCGAAGGCAGGUCUCUGGGCCACUACUGACGCUGAGAAGCGAAAGCAUGGGGAGCGAACAGG
rnacentral:rRNA from 1 species